rnacentral:rRNA from 1 species
CCUACGGGAGGCAGCAGUGAGGAAUAUUGGUCAAUGGACGAGAGUCUGAACCAGCCAAGUAGCGUGAAGGAUGACUGCCCUAUGGGUUGUAAACUUCUUUUAUAUGGGAAUAAAAUGUUCCACGUGUGGGAUUUUGUAUGUACCAUAUGAAUAAGGAUCGGCUAACUCCGUGCCAGCAGCCGCGGUAAUACGGAGGAUACGAGCGUUAUCCGGAUUUAUUGGGUUUAAAGGGAGCGUAGGUGGAUUGUUAAGUCAGUUGUGAAAGUUUGCGGCUCAACCGUAAAAUUGCAGUUGAAACUGGCAGUCUUGAGUACAGUAGAGGUGGGCGGAAUUCGUGGUGUAGCGGUGAAAUGCUUAGAUAUCACGAAGAACUCCGAUUGCGAAGGCAGUUCACUGGACUGCAACUGACACUGAGGCUCGAAAGUGUGGGUAUCAAACAGGAUUAGAUACCCGAGUAGUC